GUGGCUGCAGUGCAGAGCUCCUCGGCCCUCCCAGCUUCUGCCACCGCGCCUGCGUUUGAGGUGUCUGCAGGAGCCCCGAGGAGAGGACCAGCCGGGACCCCUCAGCUCCCAGCUUGUAGGAGUUGUGUGGACUGCGUGUACAAUGUCCACUGUGGGUAUCCUGUAGGUCCCAGCUACCUGAGGGCCACGGUCAACAUGGUAUUGCAGACCCACUAUAUGCCAGCAUAAUGUUCCGUGCCGUCCAUUCAUUGAAACGGGCCUGCAAGAUGAGUUUUAUUAUCCCCAUUUUCAAGAUGGAAGAACUGAGCCCUGUGGAAGUUACGGAAUCUACCUAAGGCAGAGCCUGAACGUCCAAGGCCCACAGUUUGGUUUAUACCACAAAGAUUAAACAUAAGAUUUUCCUUCUGAAGUCAAUCUCGAUUCUUCUAUUGGAAGGUGGAAAAUAAUGGAUGUCAUCUAGAAAACCUGGAGAUUUUGUCAUCAAAAAGAAAAUGCAGUGGAUAAGAACUAUGCAGGAUUCAUGAACGCCUCGAGCCUGAAAAUGAGGAACUCACCAUUCUGUGAUAAUAUGAAUUCACCCAUAAAGCAUUACGACAUUAACAUGUGUGCAGUAAGCCCUUCUAGGAGAACUCUGCCACCUUUGGGAAAGGUUGUGUAAGCCUGAGGGGUUGAUGAUGUCAGGGACUCCAUCUUGUCUGGGGAAUUAGUUCAGGUGAGGUGUCCUAUUAGUCUUAGAUGCUAACUGAUUAAGAAGUUAUAUAUUUAAUGUCUUCUCUUCUCUAGUCCUGUGCUGUUGUGAGGACUGGAAUCCUGACUUCAAGGAAAUUGUUAUUCAAUUUAACAACCUUAAUGUACCAUGCAGCAUGCUAAGGAUUAGGGUCAUAGUGGUGAAAAGAUUGAGACCUAAGCAUAUGGAUAUGGGAACAAUACACAACAGUCUCUAACUCAAUAUUACCCGAUGCUCCUAGUGACUUCAAUUUUGUACCUCCCGUGGAAGGGCAUGUGAUUAUUUGUGUUCUCAGAUGGAGCUGUUUCCAUGCCAAGCUUUAUCUCUACCACACUUGAUUUGUAAAGUAAACUCUCAGGCACUGGCUCAAAAUUGACUAGUAUUUACAAAUUUAUACACUUCUUUCUGUCAAGAGACUCUUUACCCUUCUUUCUUGUCCACGGCUUAGGUCAAGGGUUUGCUUUCUCUUGUGCCCUUCAGCAAGUACAGACUUGGGAAGGGGUAUUGCCAUCUUUAGUGGAUUUUUCCAUAUCUGUGAGCAGUAAUGUCAGGUAUAGAGCUGUGAUCUCCCCGGGGAAUACAGCAGAGGAGUACAGGGACAGAGAAGGAACAAUAGUGGGGUUCCCAACGGAAAAAGGAAGACCACAGAGGGGAUAAGUGCUUUGUUCUGGACCUGCAUGUCUGUUCAGAGUGCACAGGCUAAGAAGGGAACUGGUUGCUCGAGGCCUCAUCUUGACCUGGAAAACAUUGGACCCGGUGGGUCCCACACCCGUCCUAACUGAAUGGAGCUGGAUGAUGGCCUGAAACUCUAAGAAUGUCAAAGGAAGGUUCACGAGGGUCUCUGGUGCUGCAGUCCAGGAUAAACGUGGUUGAGUGUGGAGGAGUGAGAAGGGGUACAGGGAAGGAACAGGGGCUCCAGACUUGCUCCCUGAAAUCAUCCGCCAUGCUGCUCCCGCCCAGAAUCUCACAAAGUCAAGCCUCUGGACUAUACCCAGCUAGCUUCACAUUCCUUCUUUCCUCAAGUGGAGACCACGGCUGAAUACGACAUUUCCCUUGCAAGAUGUAAAAGGGGCUUGGAUUAGAACUAGGCCUAACUUAACUCUGUCCCCAGACUUGUGUCUGUUCCUUCAAGACCUGGACAACUUCCAGACCACAAGAACAUGGUGUAUAAUAGGAAUCCAGUUGCUGUCGUGGUCAUAGCUUAAUUGCUCUGAAGAGGUAACAGGACCCAGGCAAUAUCAAAAGCAUGUGAGUCCCCUCUGCUCUCGGCAUUGGUCCUCAGCUCGCCCCCUUGCCAAAUCCCUGCCCAGGAUCUUCACCAGCUGGAGACCGUGAGUUGGCAUUAAACUUGAAAGAUGGGAAGUUAUGAGGGCAAAUUCUGGUUCUCCGAGUGGCAGAUUGUGGCUUUAUUGAGUUAGUUGUCAACUUCUCUGAAUCUCAGUUUUCUACUUUACUGAUGAGAUCAAUAUUUUUAAAACAUUUUAAUAGCUUUAUUAGAAAAAUGAUUCAUAUUCCUUAUAAAACAUUCACAUAACAUAAAAAGAACAAAGCAAAAACUAAAAACGUUACACCAAAUUUCUACACCCAAAGAUAAUCAUUGUUAAUAUUUGGCAGAAAAAGUCUU